GCGGCGUGCUUAACACAUGCAAGUCGAACGGUGAACACGGAGCUUGCUCUGUGGGAUCAGUGGCGAACGGGUGAGUAACACGUGAGCAACCUGCCCCUGACUCUGGGAUAAGCGCUGGAAACGGCGUCUAAUACUGGAUAUGUGACGUGACCGCAUGGUCUGCGUUUGGAAAGAUUUUUCGGUUGGGGAGGGGCUCGCGGCCUAUCAGCUUGUUGGUGAGGUAAUGGCUCACCAAGGCGUCGACGGGUAGCCGGCCUGAGAGGGUGACCGGCCACACUGGGACUGAGACACGGCCCAGACUCCUACGGGAGGCAGCAGUGGGGAAUAUUGCACAAUGGGCGAAAGCCUGAUGCAGCAACGCCGCGUGAGGGAUGACGGCCUUCGGGUUGUAAACCUCUUUUAGCAGGGAAGAAGCGAAAGUGACGGUACCUGCAGAAAAAGCGCCGGCUAACUACGUGCCAGCAGCCGCGGUAAUACGUAGGGCGCAAGCGUUAUCCGGAAUUAUUGGGCGUAAAGAGCUCGUAGGCGGUUUGUCGCGUCUGCUGUGAAAUCCCGAGGCUCAACCUCGGGCCUGCAGUGGGUACGGGCAGACUAGAGUGCGGUAGGGGAGAUUGGAAUUCCUGGUGUAGCGGUGGAAUGCGCAGAUAUCAGGAGGAACACCGAUGGCGAAGGCAGAUCUCUGGGCCGUAACUGACGCUGAGGAGCGAAAGGGUGGGGAGCAAACAGGCUUAGAUACCCUGGUAGUCCACCCCGUAAACGUUGGGAACUAGUUGUGGGGUCCAUUCCACGGAUUCCGUGACGCAGCUAACGCAUUAAGUUCCCCGCCUGGGGAGUACGGCCGCAAGGCUAAAACUCAAAGGAAUUGACGGGGACCCGCACAAGCGGCGGAGCAUGCGGAUUAAUUCGAUGCAACGCGAAGAACCUUACCAAGGCUUGACAUAUACGAGAACGGGCCAGAAAUGGU
rnacentral:rRNA from 1 species